rnacentral:tRNA from 1 species
GCCUGGCUGGCUUAGUAGGUAAAGCAUGUGACUCUUAAUCUCAAGGUUGUGAGUUCAAGCCCCAUGUUGGGUA